GAUGAACGCUGGCGGCGUGCUUAACACAUGCAAGUCGAGCGAAGCAGUUAAGUUGAUUUCUUCGGAUUGAUUCUUAAUUGACUGAGCGGCGGACGGGUGAGUAACGCGUGGGUGACCUGCCCCAUACCGGGGGAUAACAGCUGGAAACGGCUGCUAAUACCGCAUAAGCGCACAGAGCUGCAUGGCUCAGUGUGAAAAACUCCGGUGGUAUGGGAUGGGCCCGCGUCUGAUUAGGCAGUUGGCGGGGUAACGGCCCACCAAACCGACGAUCAGUAGCCGGCCUGAGAGGGCGACCGGCCACAUUGGGACUGAGACACGGCCCAAACUCCUACGGGAGGCAGCAGUGGGGAAUAUUGCACAAUGGGGGAAACCCUGAUGCAGCGACGCCGCGUGAGCGAAGAAGUAUUUCGGUAUGUAAAGCUCUAUCAGCAGGGAAGAUAAUGACGGUACCUGACUAAGAAGCCCCGGCUA
rnacentral:rRNA from 1 species